AAAAGGUAAAUACGCAGUCGAGUGGCCAGGAAUGCCCGAGGCAGCCAGGGUAGGGUUUGCCGGUUUGGGGGCGAUCGGCGACUUGGCGUGGCAGCGCGCGGCGGCCGGUGGCCGGCCGAGUCCAGAUCCGGCGAUCGGCGACUCGGCUAGUGGAGGGAUCCGGCGGCGGGCGGCGCCCUCGCCCCUCGGCCGGCGCACUAUUCACGGCACGGCAGCUCCAUUGCGAUCUGCAAGCACCAAGCUAGCAAGGUGCUCCAUUUGCAAACGAAAAUGGAGGCCGGGGGAGACUCCGAGCCUGCGCAAGCGACGCUGGCCAGGGACUGGUCGGAGCUGCCCCUCGACGCCCUCACGUCGGUCUUUGCCAAGCUAGGCGCCAUUGAGAUCCUUAUGGGCGCUGUGCCACUCAUGGCUCGCCACGGUCAAAGGUGCCUUCUCUGUGGCAGUCAAAGAGAAUUGCAGGUCUGGAGCUAGAGAUGUCCUGUGCGCCAUGGUGAAGGAGGCCGUGGACCGUUCCAGCGGCCAGCUGGAGGUGUUCAUCGGAGAGGAGUUUGUUGAUGAUGACCUUCUCAAGUACAUAGGGGGCAGGUAUGAUCUUUAACUGCAUUAUUUUUAUACCACUCGAAAGAAUUGUCCUGCCAGCAAAAAUGAAGAAAAAUGUCUGGUAAUUGCUUGUUUCUGACAGCACGUCCUUGCACUCCUUUUAUUUGCAUCAUUUAUUUAUUGAGAUCUGAACACUAUAUCUUCAGGAGUAGCUGUGGGUUUGAUACGUGGUUAAUUGCACCGUUUCGAUUUUAAAAACAAAGGUUUUUCUUUCUCAGAACAUCAGAAUACUGUGGAAGGAAAAAUGAUUUCUUCACGUUUUAGUGAAAUUCUUACUGGACAUAACCUCGUUUCAAAUCCCGUUCCAGAAUUUGGCGUUUCAAGAAGUUUCUGGAUGUACAAGAUGUUACUGUUUUUACGCUGCAGAAUUGCUGCCAUGGAGCUAGAGAAGGAGAUUGGUUACUAGUGCUCUUCCAUGGCUCCGGGAAAUACAUGUUUCAAAAUGUUUGUUCACUACAAAAAUUAUGAGCACAGUUAUUAAUAGCAAACAACGAUUUCACUCCCUUCCUCUAAUUAAAUACACUGAAAGAGAAAUUGGCAUGCCUUUUGUUUCAAAUAUAUAUUCUUCAUUUGUGAGUAGCACCCACACAACUCUCUCAAGAUAUUAGUCAUUUCACUUUACCAUUCUGAUGGUUUCAUGCGUGUUCCAUAGUACAAGUGCUCAUGAAGCUAGUGUAGUGUGAUCUAAUAGAGAUGUGGAUGGUCAUCUUUGCAUAAUGUUUCUUUCUUGGACCUUAUGCUUCCUUGCUUAGUUGGCACAGAGUAAGGUUGCAAAUGGUCCUAUGCAUGGAAACGAUGAUUUUUGAAAAAAAUAUAUAGAAUUAUUAGUGGUUCGGUAUCAUUAAUACAGUUGAGGUUGUAGCUAAAGCGCCUCGAAGUUGGCAAGUACAUUCCCUCGCCAUGCAGUUUUGUAAUAGAUCAUGAGGAUAAUUCCGACUGUGAUGAAGCCCGUGGGAUUGCAAGAAUGCAUGGGCUACGCUCCCUGAAGAUUUAUCACAAUAAGCUCAACAACAAAGCACUAGCUGCCAUUCUUGACAACUGCCCUCACCUGGAGUCCCUCGAUCUACAAUGUGUGCUUCAACAUUUUCGUGGAUGGUGCCAUGCCAGCCAAGUAUGCUGGCAUCAAGAUGGCUGGCAUCUCAUGGGCUACGACCCAGGUGUGAUGGCUACGAGCGCUGGGCCGAGAGCCCUCCCUCGUCGGAUCAGGAUUAAUCCUGGUGGUGAUGAUUUCAAUAUAAUCAUGGUGCUGCUUAUUAAGCCUAAUCUCAAAUGUAUUAUAGCGUGAUGUAAUAUCUAAGACCGCCACGUCACUAGGUUUAGUAUUAAGUAGAUGUGUAGAAACAACUUCUGUUAUGUAUCUUAUCGUAUUAUUGUUUCCUAUGUCAUUGAACACGAUUAAUUGUUAUGUUUUUCUA